GUGAGCUGUAUAAUGACUUUGACCCAAGCAGGAGGUAUUAAUUUAUACAAUAAUCAGAAAAACAAUGUUAUUCAUUUUUUUAACUUUUUAUUCUCUUUUCAACUUGAUUUAUAUCACAUAUAAUACUGUAAUAUCUUUAUUUUAUUGUGGCUGUCGUUAUGAAAAUUAAAAAUAGAUUUAUUCGGGUAACAAUUAAAAUUAAAAAAAAGUCGGGAUUAUUUGGUCAAGUAUGGUUCAGACAGGUCGAGUAUUGUUCAGACAUUUAGUCGAGUACGAUUAAGACUGAACAAAUAGGUCGAGUGCAGGUCGAGAACGGGUUAAGACUGUUUCAGACUGGUCGAGUAAUAAUUCAAACUAUUUUUAAUGUCAAAGAUAAGGGUCGAGUACAAAACAGUACAGUCGAGUACGAUUAAGUCUAGAGUCGCGUAAUGUAUUAAAAUUCAGACCAAUUCAGGCUGGUCGAGUAAAAAUCAGUUCAGUCGAGUACAGAUAUAGGCCAUUUCAGACUGUUACUGGUUUGUAGUGUAUAUUACUAUUGUCGUUACUUAUUAUGUAAGUCAUGCUUUUGAGGUUGGAUAUGAGACUUUAUAUGAGUUGGUCUAACACAAGUUACUAACAAAUUGAAAACAACACGUUUAAUAAUUUCUUGCGUCCGAAGCUCUUUCCUGCAUUUACUUCAUCAGGAACGCUUAAAGCCAAACAUUUGAAAUCCGAAGAUGAAAAAGUACCGAAACCUUUGAAGAGCUAUAUGUCAAAAAUACAUAAAAUAAAUAGCCAAAUUCAUCUAAAGCUAACUUUGCAUGAGGGAGUUGAAACCUUAGUUUCUUAAUAAUUUCAAAAUUUAUAAACGGACAAUUUUAGUAAAGUUUGUUAAAUCAUGUCACCACCGAAGAAGUACUGACUACUGAGCUGACGAUACCCUCCGGGACUGAUAGUCCACCUGCAAAGAUAUCGACCCAGUGAAUUACAACUCAUGGUUAUAACAUGUUGAUAUAUUUGACCUCUUGUGUAAUAUGGUUGAUUUACAUUAUCUGACAUGUUGUAUACUAAGAUAACGUUUUAUCAAAUAUGCAAGAUAAAUUUAUGCAUUACAAUAUUUGUUUUCAAGAUUUUAUCAAUGAGAUUAAUAUCCCGAGGAUUGGGUUAGUCAAACAAUACUUAUCGGAAACAUACACUGUACUUCUGUACGCAGAUUUUCCUGAAAUCCAAAUAAUUAAUUUGGUAUUUUUGUUCUUUCUUCAAAAUUAGCAAAAUUAUGUAAAGUAGACUUUGAUGAGUAAAUAUUAACAAAAUGUCAAGAACCACAAAUAUAUUGUCAUAAACUUGAAAGCCGAUGUAAUAUUCUACAAAACGUGCGUAAUGUUGUGUCGUUGUUCUCCUCUAAUAUCUAAUGAGUUUCCCUCAGUUUUAGUUUGUUACCCCGAUUUUGUUUUUUGUCCAUAGAUUUAUGAGUUCUGAACAGCGA
rnacentral:lncRNA from 1 species